AACGAACGCUGGCGGCAUGCCUAACACAUGCAAGUCGAACGAGAUCUUCGGGUCUAGUGGCGCACGGGUGCGUAACGCGUGGGAAUCUGCCCUUUGGUUCGGAAUAACAGUUGGAAACGACUGCUAAUACCGGAUGAUGACGAAAGUCCAAAGAUUUAUCGCCAGAGGAUGAGCCCGCGUAGGAUUAGCUAGUUGGUGUGGUAAAGGCGCACCAAGGCGACGAUCCUUAGCUGGUCUGAGAGGAUGAUCAGCCACACUGGGACUGAGACACGGCCCAGACUCCUACGGGAGGCAGCAGUGGGGAAUAUUGGACAAUGGGCGAAAGCCUGAUCCAGCAAUGCCGCGUGAGUGAUGAAGGCCUUAGGGUUGUAAAGCUCUUUUACCCGGGAUGAUAAUGACAGUACCGGGAGAAUAAGCCCCGGCUAACUUCGUGCCAGCCGCCGCCGUAA
rnacentral:rRNA from 1 species